rnacentral:rRNA from 1 species
CGUAUGGCGACCGGCGCACGGGUGAGUAACGCGUAUGCAACCUGCCCGAUACCGGGGUAUAGCCCAUGGAAACGUGGAUUAACACCCCAUAGUACUUUUAUCCUGCCUGGGAUGUGAGUUAAAUGUUCAAGGUAUCGGAUGGGCAUGCGUCCUAUUAGUUAGUUGGCGGGGUAACAGCCCACCAAGACGAUGAUAGGUAGGGGUUCUGGGAGGAAGGUCCCCCACAUUGGAACUGAGACACGGUCCAA